UCGUUAGCUCAGUUGGUAGAGCAGUUGGCUUUUAACCAAUUGGUCGUAGGUUCGAAUCCUACA
rnacentral:tRNA from 1 species